AGCACUCCUACGGGAGGCAGCAGUGGGGAAUAUUGCACAAUGGGCGCAAGCCUGAUGCAGCCAUGCCGCGUGUAUGAAGAAGGCCUUCGGGUUGUAAAGUACUUUCAGCAGUGAGGAAGGUGGGUAUGUUAAUAGCAUAUUCAUUUGACGUUAGCUGCAGAAGAAGCACCGGCUAACUCCGUGCCAGCAGCCGCGGUAAUACGGAGGGUGCGAGCGUUAAUCGGAAUUACUGGGCGUAAAGCGCAUGCAGGUGGUUUGUUAAGUCAGAUGUGAAAGCCCGGGGCUCAACCUCGGAAUUGCAUUUGAAACUGGCAAACUAGAGUACUGUAGAGGGGGUAGAAUUUCAGGUGUAGCGGUGAAAUGCGUAGAGAUCUGAAGGAAUACCGGUGGCGAAGGCGGCCCCCUGGACAGAUACUGACACUCAGAUGCGAAAGCGUGGGGAGCAAACAGGAUUAGAUACCCCGGUAG
rnacentral:rRNA from 1 species